UUCCUCGGGACGAGCGGGCCCGGCCAUGAGGCCCCAAACGCGUCCGGCUCAGGUCGAAUUCGCCCAAGAUCGCCAGAGAUCUCGUGGAGCCUUGGAGGUUUCGCCAGUCAUGGGCAGUCUGUUCCGGCACUUUGGCUUUAGCAACGUAAAGUUCCAUGGCAAUUUUUUUUUUCUUGGUGACCGGUGAGGUUCUGAUUCCGGUCGAGCUUUCGGUUAACUAUCAUGGCAGGUCUACGCUGCAACUAAUCUUACUAGAUACAAGGGUGAUGCGCAGAGAAGAGUAUCUACGGAAGCAAUAUGGUCGGCUUCUUUUCGUGGUACUGCGUGCUGCCGGUAGAUGCUGCAAACCACCGGCAUCACACGCUGGACCUGCAUCAAAAGGAAAGGAAACUUGUGGUUAAGGGGAAAACACUGGGGCCUUUGCACGAAUGGUCGGGCUGCAUUUUCCCUGUCCAUUUGAUGGCUCGGCACUACUGAACAGAUGAGUACUCCACCUGCGUACUUGCGCCUCGUGCUGAUCAGGCCGUGUGUGCAUUUCAAAGAAUUUAAGGUGAGGGUAGCUGCUGCUGAUGCAGUGAUGUUCAGGAUUCCACGGCUAGGUUUUACUAAAUUGUCUGAAACUGUGGUUAUUCAGGGAAAGAGUUUGGAAGUCAGAGACACUGACAGUGUUGCUAUUUCUAAGCCACUGUGUAUUCUCACCGACACAUUUCUGUCAGCAUCAUCCACCUUAUCUGGCUUUUAUUUGACUGGAUACACAGUCCUUGCUGGAAACAAUGCAUGCUGUCUCAACUUCACGAGCAAAUUUUCUGAAGAAACUGAUAGUAAAUUGCUGAAGUUCUGUUCCAUAAACCUCCGAAACAAUUUUCUAAACCACCUAACCCAUGAGCUCCGAAUAAAAAAACGGAGCUCGCGAGCUCGGCACAGGCUGGAGAGCCGGGAAGCUUUUGGUAGGCGAGGGAGAUUCUUUCAGCGCUGAAUCGGACGGAUGGGCACGCACAUUCCAGAACGAGGAAGAGUGGCAGAUAGGUGGCGACUUUGCGCUGCAAACGGCCACGGUGCUGACAUGGAGCCGCGUAGGCGUCCAAAGCAGGACGUGCCGCUAGCUAGCAAGCCGUCGUCUUCAACCUUGCUACCUUAACAAUUCUGGAAAGGCGCUUUCGGGAAAAGAGAGAUCUUGCCGGGCAUGGGCGUCGCCCCGCGCGUUGGCCCAUCGGCCGGCGAGGGCCCUCGGUUCCUGAGCCCGACCAUCGUGUUGUCCCAGGGAGUAGUAGGCUUAGCCUAGAAGCAAGAUCAGAGACGGGAAAGAUGGUGGCUUUCGAGUAAACUAGACCCGGGUUUGGCAGCGAGAACGACGACGAUCACUCGGUGCAUCCUGAUGCAAGGGCACGGCCCUACUUCGGCAAGGCCGGGCCGCCGGCGGCCCCGGCCGGUCGUGGGCACUGCUUGUUGCGUGCACGGCUCAGCGCACGCGCGAACGCACGCACGCACAGGUCAACGU